rnacentral:tRNA from 1 species
GGAUAUAGCUCAGUUGGUAAAGUGUUUGCCUUGCAUGCACAAGGCUCUGGGUUCAAUUUCCAACAUCACA